rnacentral:rRNA from 1 species
GACGAACGCUGGCGGCGCGCUUAACACAUGCAAGUCGAACGGAAAGGCCUGCUUUCCCUUGUGGAUUGCGGGUACUCGAGUGGCGAACGGGUGAGUAACACGUGAGUGAUCUGCCCCCAACUUGGGUAUAAGCCUGGGAAACUGGGUCUAAUUCCCGAUAGGACUGCAGGGUGGUGCCUGUGGUGGAAAACGAUUUUCUAGUGGUUGGGGAUGAGCUCGCGGCCUAUCAGCUUGUUGGUGGGGUAAUGGCCUACCAAGGCGGCGACGGGUAGCCGGCCUGAGAGGGUGGACGGCCGCAUUGGGACUGAGAUACGGCCCAGACUCCUACGAGAAGCAGCAGUGGGGAAGAUUGCACAAUGGGCGGAAGCCUGAUGCAGCGACGCAGCGUGGGGGAUGACGGCCUUCGGGUGGUAAACUCCUUUCGACCGCGAGGAAGCCACCUGGUUGGAAGGGUGGUGACGGUAGUGGUAGAAGAAGCACCGGCUAACUACGUG